GACGAACGCUGGCGGCACGCUUAACACAUGCAAGUCGAACGCUUUCGAGACUUCGGUCUCAAUGAAAGAGUGGCGAACGGGUGAGUAACACGUGAGAAACCUGCCUUGAAGAUUGGGACAACCACUGGAAACGGUGGCUAAUACCGAAUACCUUCCUACCGUCGCAUGGCGGUUUGAAGAAAUGCUCCGGCGCUUCAAGAGGGUCUCGCGGCCUAUCAGCUAGUUGGUGAGGUAAUGGCUCACCAAGGCAUCGACGGGUAGCUGGUCUGAGAGGACGAUCAGCCACACUGGGACUGAGACACGGCCCAG
rnacentral:rRNA from 1 species